ensembl:snRNA U6 U6 spliceosomal RNA
GUGCUCAUUUCGGCAGCACAUACACUAAAAUUGGAGGGAUACAGAGAAGCUUAGCACGGCCCCUGCGCAAGGAUGACACACAAAAUUGUAAAGCAUUCCGUAUUUUU